GAUAAACGCUGGCGGCGUGCCUAAUACAUGCAAGUUGAGCGGUAAGGUUCUGCACCCACUAUUUGGCCAGAUAAGUUUCUUGCAAAAGAAAUACUGUCUGCAGCGAUGAUCUCUGGCUGAGAUUAUAGUCGAAUGAUGAGUGUAGAAUACACGAGCGGCGGACGGCAGAGUAACGCGUAGGAACCGUACCCCAAACNGAGGCAUAAGGCCCCGGGGAAACCGGGUCAAUACCGCAUAAUAUCUUCGGAUUAAAGCUUCGGCGGUUUGGGAGCGGCCUGCGUAUGAUUAGCUAGUUGGUGAGGUAAUGGCUCACCAAGGCGACGAUCAUUAGCUGGUCUGAGAGGAUGAUCAGCCUGACU
rnacentral:rRNA from 1 species